rnacentral:rRNA from 1 species
AUUGAACGCUGGCGGCAGGCCUAACACUUGCAAGUCGAGCGAGCGGCGGACGGGUGAGUAAUGUAUGGGGACUGCCCGAUAGAGGGGGAUAACUACUGGAAACGGUAGCUAAUACCGCAUACUAUCGGAUAACCCAUAUGGGAUUAGCUAGUAGGUGAGGUAAUGGCUCAACUAGGCGACGAUCCCUAGCUGGUCUGAGAGGAUGAUCAGCCAAACUGGAACUGAGACCCGGCCCAGAUGCCUACGGAGGCAGCAGUGGGGAAUAUUGCACAAUGGGCGCAAGCCUGAUGCAGCCACGCCGCGUGUAUGAAGACGGCCCUAGGGUUGUAAAGUACGUUCAGUCGGGAGGCGUUACCGACAGAAGAAGCACCGGCUUACUCCGUGCCAGCAGCCGCGGUAAUAC